ACAGUCCUCCUUCUUGCCCUCCCCCCGAACCCAUAUGAACCGCACGAGUUUAAGAUUAAAGGUCCUUUCUGCCACGGAACACCCGGGGAAGCUUGGUCUCUGUUUCCUCCUGCCAAAGGGGGACAGCGCGGCCGAGCUCCACUCUGGGAAAACCAGCAGAGAGUCCGCAACCAGAUCCGUUAAAAGGCAGUGAUCUGCUAUACACAGUAUGGAGAAUUAAGAAUAGUCAUCUGAAGUAAGGGAGGGAAGCGAAUGGUAAACUAGUUCCCCUGAGGCUGACUUUAUGUGUGACCAAAGCCUGCAGACAAUUCAAACAGUAUUCCUUAAGUUGAUAUAUGUCCUGUUCUAUACAUUAAGCAAGUUUAUGAAGUUAUUCUGCCACUUCAGAUAUAAAACUUGGGAAGUUAGCUUUCUCACACUGUUAUUUCUGCAGAGGAAGAUAACCAAAAGGAUUCACUCCAACUCAGAUUCAUAAUUUGAUACCACAACAGUCAGAAAAAAGGAGCACACUGACUCAGAAGGAACUUGGCUAUCUUCGCUGGCAUUUCUACACAGAGGCUCAGAAAAAGCACAUUUUCUCCUCUACUCCCAAAACAUCACAAACCAAUUUCUACAGCAAGUUACCAGACUGAUGAACAGUUCAGCAAGUAAUGCUGACUCACAUUGUUUUCCUUCUAACUCAGUAUUAUAUAGGUAAUCUUAUUUUUUCCCCUACAUCCACAUACAGUUUUCCUAGAACUGACAGAAGCUUUACACAUUUUAUCACAUCAGAUAAGCAUAUUCUUUAAUUUACCUCACAGCAGAUUAAAUUAACACUACUUCAGUGAUAUUACUACAGAUUUUACAGCUACUAGCAUGGUUUAAUCCCAGUCAUCAACCAAGUCCCACACAGCCGCUCACUCACUUGCCCACCAGCAGGAUCAGGGAGAGAACUGGAAGAGUAAAAGCUGGAAAACUCUUGGGUUGAAAUAAAGACAGGGAAAGCAAAAGCCAUACACACA